rnacentral:rRNA from 1 species
GACGAACCGUGCAAACGUUAUUCGGAAUCACUGGGCUUAAAGGGCGCGUAGGCGGGCCGCCCGGUCCGGGGUGAAAUCCUCCAGCUCAACUGGAGAAGUGCCUUGGAUACCGGCGGCCUCGAGGGAGGCAGGGGCGUGCGGAACUUCGGGUGGAGCGGUGAAAUGCGUAGAUAUCCGAAGGAACACCGGUGGCGAAAGCGGCGCGCUGGACCUCUUCUGACGCUGAGGCGCGAAAGCCAGGGGAGCAAACGGG